UACGUAGGGCGCAAGCGUUGUCCGGAAUUAUUGGGCGUAAAGAGCUUGUAGGCGGCCAGUUGCGUCUGCUGUGAAAUCCCGGGGCUCAACCCCGGGCGUGCAGUGGAUACGGGCUGGCUAGAGGCAGGCAGGGGAGAACGGAAUUCCCGGUGUAGCGGUGAAAUGCGCAGAUAUCGGGAGGAACACCGGUGGCGAAGGCGGUUCUCUGGGCCUGUACUGACGCUGAGGAGCGAAAGCGUGGGGAGCGAACAGG
rnacentral:rRNA from 1 species